UUUCAUAGUACUGGCAUCUC
rnacentral:misc_RNA from 1 species